AACGAACGCUGGCGGCGCGCCUAACACAUGCAAGUCGAACGAGAAUCCGGGGCAACCCGGUAGUAAAGUGGCAAACGGGUGAGGAAUACAUGGGUAACCUACCCUUGAGAAGGGAAUAACCCGCCGAAAGGUGAGCUAAUACCCUAUACGCUAUCUUUUUUUCGAAAAGGAUUGGAAAGCCGGGUCGAGGACCUGGUACUCAAGGAGGGGCUCAUGUCCUAUCAGCUUGUUGGUGGGGUAACGGCCUACCAAGGCUACGACGGGUAGCUGGUCUGAGAGGAUGAUCAGCCACACUGGCACUGAGAUACGGGCCAGACUCCUACGGGAGGCAGCAGUGAGGAAUAUUGCGCAAUGGGCGAAAGCCUGACGCAGCGACGCCGCGUGGGGGAUGAAGGUUUUCGGAUUGUAAACCCCUUUCAUGAGGAAGAGUAAAGUGGGUAACCACUUAGACGGUACCUCAAGAAGAAGCCACGGCUAACUUCGUGCCAGCAGCCGCGGUAAUGUCUAGC
rnacentral:rRNA from 1 species